rnacentral:rRNA from 1 species
AUUGAACGCUGGCGGCAGGCUUAACACGUGCAAGUCGAGCGGGGGAAGGUAGCUUGCUACCGGACCUAGCGGCGGACGGGUGAGUAAUGCUUAGGAAUCUGCCUAUUAGUGGGGGACAACAUCUCGAAAGGGAUGCUAAUACCGCAUACGUCCUACGGGAGAAAGCAGGGGAUCUUCGGACCUUGUGCUAAUAGAUGAGCCUAAGUCGGAUUAGCUAGUUGGUGGGGUAAAGGCCUACCAAGGCGACGAUCUGUAGCGGGUCUGAGAGGAUGAUCCGCCACACUGGGACUGAGACACGGCCCAGACUCCUACGGGAGGCAGCAGUGGGGAAUAUUGGACAAUGGGGGGAACCCUGAUCCAGCCAUGCCGCGUGUGUGAAGAAGGCCUUAUGGUUGUAAAGCACUUUAAGCGAGGAGGAGGCUUACCUAGUUAAUACCUGGGACAAGUGGACGUUACUCGCAGAAUAAGCACCGGCUAACUCUGUGCCAGCAGCCGCCGUAA